AGUAACGCGUGGGAAUAUGCCCUUCUCUAAGGAAUAGCCUCUGGAAACGGAGAGUAAUACCUUAUACGCCCUUUGGGGGAAAGAUUUAUCGGAGAAGGAUUAGCCCGCGUUAGAUUAGGUAGUUGGUGGGGUAAUGGCCUACCAAGCCUACGAUCUAUAGCUGGUUUGAGAGGAUGAUCAGCCACACUGGGACUGAGACACGGCCCAGACUCCUACGGGAGGCAGCAGUAGGGAAUCUUAGACAAUGGGGGCAACCCUGAUCUAGCCAUGCCGCGUGUGUGAUGAAGGCCCUAGGGUCGUAAAGCACUUUCGCCAGAGAUGAUAAUGACAGUAUCUGGUAAAGAAACCCCGGCUAACUCCGUGCCAGCAGCCGCGGUAAUACGGAGGGGGUUAGCGUUGUUCGGAAUUACUGGGCGUAAAGCGCACGUAGGCGGAUUAGUAAGUUAGAGGUGAAAUCCCAGGGCUCAACCCUGGAACUGCCUUUAAUACUGCUAGUCUUGAGUUCGAGAGAGGUAAGUGGAAUUCCGAGUGUAGAGGUGAAAUUCGUAGAUAUUCGGAGGAACACCAGUGGCGAAGGCGGCUUACUGGCUCGAUACUGACGCUGAGGUGCGAAAGUGUGGGGAGCAAACAGGAUUAGAUACCCUGGUAGUCCACACCGUAAACGAUGAAUGCCAGACGUCAGCAAGUAUACUUGUUGGUGUCACACCUAACGGAUUAAGCAUCCCGCCUG
rnacentral:rRNA from 1 species